AGAAAAAAAAAGAAUCUCUUUUAUUUCAGGCAGAAUGCAAUGACUUCAGUCCAUCCAAAUGAGAAGAUCCAGAAAAAGGGAAUGAAACACAGACUCGUUCAAUUUUAAAAAGGGGGGGGGAGAGGGAGGAAUAAACCAUUAUUACGAGAGGAGGGCAGAAUCUGAAAGUAGGUUUGUUUGCUGGGGGGUGGGGGAAGAGUGUUGCAACGGAAGAGGGGGACUCAAAGCAUGGGGGGUAAGGGAGAUGUUAGGAAGAGAAAGCUCCAGUUUUGGGGUUUUUUAUUUUUUUAUUUUUAGGAAAAAUAGAUUUUUGGCACUGCUGGCUGGGCGCUAGGGGUGAUGAGAACAUGAACUAUGGUUAAAGGGGGCGGGGUUAUGAAAAUGUCUCACCAGAGGCCAAGUUCUUCUCUUAGUUUAAGGUAUGGGGGUUUCCCAAUGCAGCCACUUCAAGACUGGGGGGACCUCAACUCCCAGAAUUCCCCAGCCAGCAUAGUGGCCAUGUUGGGAGGCUG